UUACUUACUGGCAGGGGAGAUACCAUGAUCACAAAGGCGGUUUUCCCAGGGCAAGGCUUAUCCAUUGCAGUCCAGAUGUGCUGACUCCAGCGAUCUCCCCAAAUGUGAGAAACAACACUGCAUAAUUUGUGGUAGUGGGGAACUGUGUUCCCACUCUCCCUU
rnacentral:snRNA from 1 species